CCUCUCUCUCUCUCUCUCUCAUCCUCUCUGUCUCCACUCGACAUAAAAGUGAUGCCGCUCCACCGCUUCUCUCAAUCUCUCUCUCUCUCUACAUCAGGACAUGGAUGCAGGAACAGGUCGCUGCCUCAGGUCUCGAUGGCUCCUCUGCUUCGUGGUCGUCACUCUGCUCUGUUCUGGAAGUCUCGCCUAUCCCGUCUCAGGGCAGUCGAGAAGGGGAGGAGGACGGCGGUCACUGAUCGUUUCAUUGGAGGACUACAGUGUGCCACGAGCCAAUCCAAGACACAAUCCCAAACCAUGUCCAAGCCCAUGCUCAGGCCCAGGCCCAAAACCAAGCCCCAUCCGUAACUAAGAUCCGUCGGAUGCAUGAUGAACGGUCGGAUGGAGUCCGCUGUCUGUCUACAACCGGUGGUUUUGUUCUAUUUGUUUCUGUUUUUUGUUUUUGUUGUUGGUUUCCAUCUUAGUGACUCUUGAUGUUUCUUUCCCCUAUAAAAGUAGUUGUUUGCAGUUGUGUCACGGUUUGCUACCAAAAACAUGUUAUAUGUUUUUGA